GCAGAGGGCCGGGUGGCCGCUGCAGCUGCAUUGCGUGUGCACGCUGCAGAGGAAAGUCCGGGCUCCAUAGGGCACGAUGCCGGAUAACAUCCGGGCGGGGCGACCCGACGGAAAGUGCCACAGAAAACACACAGCCGUGGCCGUUUGGCUGCGGUAACGGUGAAAAGGUGCGGUAAGAGCGCACCGGCGGUGUGGUAACACACCGGCCUGGCAAACCCCAUCGGGAGCAAGAUCAAAGGGAGGGGUUGAGGCGGCCCGCGGACCCUCCCGGUAGAUCGCUUGAGGAGCCGGGUAACCGACUCCCCAGAGAGAUGGCCACACAAAGACAGAACCCGGCUUAUAGGCCCUCUGCUUCU
rfam:Chthonomonas calidirosea T49 complete genome